AUGAGGAAACAGGCACAGAGAGGGGGCGGCCUGCCCAAGGUCACCGGGGAGGGAGUGGAGAGGCUGGAUGCCCUUGGGCCCAGACUGCAGCCUCCCCUCCCCGAUGUGCUGCGGCCCCAGUGUCCUGGGCCCCACGUGGCGCCUGAGCCCACAGGUGUCACCAAAGAGCCACCCGGGCACCGGACUUGCCAACAUGCAGGCACACGCAGGCACACACCUGGACCACACGGCCCUGAGCACACGCCUUGCCCAGCCCUCCUCCGGGCUGUGGUGCGGGUGCCAGGUGCCACCUGCUGGCGGGCUACAGCAUCACGGCUCUCGCCCUCCGGAGCCUUCCAUGGUGCCACACCAGCCUCUGGUCUGGCUGCAGACGGCUUGGGCUGGGCAGGGAAGCUUCCGCUGUCAGGGAGCCUGGGACCACAGACUUUGCUCCAAGCGCCCUGGGUGGGUAGAGGCCAGGUCCAGUAUGAGGAGCCCUGGUUCCCUGAGGUAGAUGGAGCCAGGCAGAAGUUGAGUAGACAUGGGGGCUGCAGCCCUGGCCCCACUGCCCGACUCUCUCUCUGCAUUUCAGGAGCUGGCAAGAUCCAAGGGGGUCCCCAAGGCCCUGAGGCUGCACUGAGCACCCCUUUCCUGCCCAUUUUCAGAUGCAGCGGUGUCCUGGACCCCUGGGGAGAGGUGACCCCCCACCAGCAGGAAGCUGGGCCUGGUUUCUGUCCCUCUGCAGCCACAAGGCCUGGCCAGGAUGCUGGGAGCACCACACCCUGGAGACUCAGCUCUCCAAGGACUCAGUGGGCCCCCGGCCCCCUGGACUCCCACCCAGACACCAUCUCAACCCAGGCACUUCCCCCGGGCCAGAGGGCAGCCUGGCAGCCCUGGACUCUGGGAGGGCCGAGUCUGGGGAGCUGGAGGACGUCACAUUCCACUCUUGAUGAUGCCGCCCCAGUCCUACAAUCUGGACAGCAGGAGAAGCUGCCCAUUUCCUCCAUCUCCGGUCCCUGGAGGUUCCCCGGAUCCUUUCAGGGGAGACCAUGGGCCCUAAACGAUCUUCAUAACAAAACUGAGAAGUGGCCUGGCUUCUUCACUGUGCACCUGUGUGCUGGGAUCCAGCGUGGUCUGACUGGGCAGCUCCUUUCCUUCCCUGACGCUGCUCCAGGGGAAAGAAGGACCAGGGUCAAUCCGGGGUGCCCCAGGUGGAUCAGCGAAUGCCCCUGAAGCCAGGUGCCAGUUGCAUCCCCGUCCGAUGCCCCCACCCCAGUCUCCUGAGCCUCAUUAGUCACCCCUCAUUUUCCUCUGGGGACCCCAGGCCCCAGCUCCUGUCUGGUUAGAGGCUGAAGGGGUCUGAGCGACACCUACCCUAGGGGACCUCCGGAGGGGUCUUGGUGUCCUCUGACUUCUAUCCUCAGAAGGGAGCUCAGAAUGCAGCUGAGGCUUCCCCUGGGGCCCAGGGUGUCUGUGUCCGAGCCACAGCCAGAGUGUGCCCUGGAGAGCCGCUGGGAUGCACGGUGGGCUCUCGUCAUCCUGUCCCCACUCCAGGCUUAGGCUGGAGCCGUGAUGGCACCGCUGCACUCCAACCUGGGCAACAGAGUGAGACCCUGUCUCUAUAAAAUAAAAACAAAAAUAAAGAAGAGCAUGUGGUUUCUGCAGUUUCCUGGCCAAAAAUGCAUAACUCCAAUCUCAAUCAUAAGAACACAUCCAACGUCCUCAACAAGGGGAGGUUCUACACACACCUGCCCAGCGCCCCUCAAAAGUGUCAAGGCGUGAAAGACAUGGAGGCAUGUAGAAGACGGGAGAGCCAGUGUGGCCUGUGGUAUGUUCAUGACGGUCACAGGUCAGCGCCCACGGUCACUCAGCAGCCAUUCCAGGCAGGCCCCAGGGGCCCAAGAGGAAGGUGGGAUGUGGUGGGAUGGGGGCUCUGCACGGCCCUGCAGCACAAGUGCCCUGCCGACUCCAGGGGAAGCUAUCUGGCCCCCUCAUGGUGCCAUUCCCCAGGGACGGGUCCUUGCCUGCCUCGCCGGCCCUCCACAGACAGGACAGGGACAGGUCGUCAGCUGUCACGGAGGCCCUCGCAGUUUUCUGAAUGUGGACUUGCUGUUCCUGCCCAUGGCGUCGUCCAUGGACUCGACAGCACCCCACUGUCCAUCACACCCCCACUGAUGCUGCUUCCCACAGCAGGACUCAUCCCAUGCUCAGGCAGUGCUCCCAGGAGCAGUGGGUUAAUAGGGCGUGGGACGGCCCCCUGAAGACCAGUUAUGGUGCCGGCCAGGAGGCCCUCUGAAAGGACGGGCGCAACCCCGCAGAACAGACCAGGUGCUCACCAUCCAUGUCUGGUGCCGCUUCUCUGUGGCGAUGGUAUCCAGGAAUCAUGGGUGGGAGUCACGGCCACCGUCCCUGUCGCACCAGCCCGCCUGCUCACACAGCCACCGUUCACUCUAGCUUGAAGGUCCUGCUUCCUCAGGGAGGAGCACUCCCUCCAGGGUCGAGGUGCUGGCCGUGUGGAGUUCGACGUCGGGACUGUCCCCAGGGGCCUCUCUUCCCACUGAAUCGACAGAGAGAAUGUGAGCUCGCUGUCCGGCGGGCGGGGCCGGGGAUCCUGUCCGCCGAGGGGACACCGGAUCGCUGCAGAGAGAGGACUAGACCCAGAGUCCAGCCAAGACCAGAACUGAGACCGGGCGACCAGCAGAGCCUGCACAAUAAUAAUGCUUCGUUUUGCAAAUGUAUUUUGUUCUUUUAUUGUAUAUAUUUAUCAUGUCCAAUGUGAUGUUUUGAAACGUGUUUACAUUGUGGUUAAAUCAAGUGGCAUAACACACAUGACUUCACAUACUUCCCAUUUUUUUGUGGUAAGAACACUCAAAAUCUACUCGCAAUGAUUUUCUUUCUUUUUUUUUCUCUCUUAAUGAUUUUCAAGGAUGCAAUAUGGUGUUAUUAACUGUAGUCACCAUGCUGUGCAGUACAUCUCUUGAAUUUAUUCCUUUUGUCUAACGGAACUUUUUUUUUUUUUGAGAUGGAGUUUGCUCUGUCGCCAGGCUGGAGUGCAGUGGCACGAUCUCGGCUUACUGUAACCUCUAUCUCCCAGGUUCAAGCAACUCUCAUGCCUCAGCCUCUGGAGUAGAUGGGAUUACAGGCGCCCGCCACCACGCCCAGCUAAUUUUUUUGUUUAUUUGUUUGUUUUUUGAACCGGAGUCUCGCUCUGUUGCCAGGCUGGAGUGCAGUGGUGCCAUCUUGGCUCACUGCAACCUCCGCCUCCUGGGUUCAAGUGAUUCUCCUGCCUCAGCCUUCUGAGUAGCUGGGAUUACAGGCGCCUGCCACCAUGCCUAGCUAAUUUUUGUAUUUUUAGUAGAGAUGGGGUUUCACCAUGUUGGCCAGGAUGAUCUUGAUCUCCUGACCUCAUGAUCUGACCGCCUCAGCAUCCCAAAGUGCUGGGAUUACAGGCAUGAGCCACCGCGCCUGGCCUAAUUUUUGUCUUUUCAGUAGAGACGGGGGUCUCAUCAUGUUGGCCAGGCUGGUCUUGAACUCCUAACCUCAGGUGAUCUGCCUGCCUCUGCUUCCCAAAGUGCUGGGAUUACAGGCGUGAGCCACUGUGCACGGUCUGUAACAGAAACUUUGUACUCUUGGACCAACCCCUCCCCAGUUCCCAGCCCCUAUGUCCCUGGGUCCUCUCUCUGCUUCUGUGAGUUCAACUUUUCUAGGCUCCACUUAUGUGUGAGAUCAUGCAGUGUCUGUCUUUCUGGGCCUGGCUUCCUUCAGUCAGCAUAAAGUCCUGCAGUUCAUCCAUGUCGGCACCAAUGACACAUUCCCUCUUCUGUGGAGGAACAGUUCUCUGACGUGGAUGCACCUUCCUUGGCUGCUGGACGCUGAGGCUGGUUCCAUGUCUGGCUGUAGUGGACAGCACUGCGGUGAACAUGGGGUGCGGGUGUCUCUUCUGCGUACUGAUGUGGCCUCCGCGUGUCACGCCCGGGAGUGGGACAGCCGGAUUACGUGGUGGUUCUGUUUUCAGUUUUUUGGGAACCUCCAUGCUGUUUUCCAUAACGGCCAUCAUCACAGACUUCUUAUCAUGAAAUCAUUUUAGACUCGUAGAAUCCUGGUAAAAAUAGUAUAGAGAAUGGUGAUCUGUCAUCUCUGGGCAGGGCAAAGGGAGCUGGGGCGACCGGGCAGGAGGGAGGUUUGCUUUCAUGAUCUGUUCUUUACCUAUUCAAAAACAAUUAAAAUAAAGGCCAAGGCAGAUGGAUCACUUGAGGCCAGGAGUUUGAGACCAGCCUGGCCAGCGUGGUGAAACCCCAUCUCUACUAAAAAUACAAAAAUUAGCCGGGUGUGGUGGGGCACACCUGCAAUCCCAGCUACUCGCGAGGCUGAGGCAGGAGAAUUGCUUGAACCCGGGAGGCGGAGGUUGCAGUGAGCCGAGAUCGUGCCACUGCACUCCAUCCAGCCUGGGUGAAAGAGUGAGACUCUAUUGCAAAAAAAAAAAAGAAAAGAAAAACCAGAAAAAAACACACAAAAUGCGCCAUUGCACUCUAGCCUGUGUGACAGAGUGAGACUCCAUUUCAAAAAAAAAAAAAAAAAAAAAAAAGGCUGGGCACGGUGGCUCAUGCCUGUAAUUCCAGCACUUUGGGAGGCUGAGGCAGGUGGAUCCUGAGGUCAGGAGAUCGAGACCAUCCUGGCUAACAUGGUGAAACCCUGUCUCUACUAAAAAUACAAAAACUUAGCCGGGCGUGGUGACAGGUGCCUGUAGUCCCAGCUACUCAGGAGGCUGAGGCAGGAGAAUGGUGUGAACCCAGGAGGCGGAGCUUGCUGUGAGCCGAGAUUGCGCCACUGCACUCCAGCUUGGGUGGCAGAGACAAACAAACAAACAAAAAAACCCAGAAAAAAACCACAAAAAAACCCCCCACAAAAAAACCAUUAAAAUAAUUUAAAAUUUUAAAAUAAUGUUUAGUAAAAUAAUGUUUAAUAAAAAAUAACGUUUAGUGUUUAACGUGAGAAAUGCUUAUAUGGUAAAAAAUAAGGAAAAAGGAUCAUUUAAAAAAGAGUGAGAAGAAAAUAGAGUCAGAUAUUUAUCUGAUCUUUAGGGAAGAGCACUUUUCUAAGCAUACAAACAAAGGAAGAAAUAAUAAAGAAAAAAAGUGACGAAUGUGUUACCUCCCUAAAAACGCGUGCGUAAGAACAAGGGUUUGAUCCUCACUGACGGGGUCCCAGGUGCUGACUGGAGUCCAGCAGGCCCCAGAGCCGGAGGCUGAGUGCGAACCACGGAGGUGACCUCCAUGGCAGGAGCAGCGCGGCGUGUCCGUCCCGCAUAGACAGAAAUGCGGUCCAGGGGUGUGGGAGGACCAUGAAGGGGUCACGCUGAACGUGCCGCAGGUGCCCACCAAGCAGACAGUCUGCCUUUCGAGGUGUGGUUCAGGGAGUUAGCAGGGCGCUAACCGCCGGCUGCUCCGUUGGGUGCAACAUAGACAGAAAAGGGGUCACAUUAAACUGGAAAUGCCAGACCUGGCUUGGUUUACUGUGGAGGAAGGGAUGCAAAGGCCUAGGGAGAUUGGAAGGCUAGGGUAGGUUUGUCACUUAAGACCUCCUCACCCACCAGAAGGUCCAGAAGACAGACCUUUCCCCAUACUGGGAACUAGAUUAGUGAGGGGGAUAGAAAUAGGGACAGAUCCCUGGGCUGCUCUUCUCUGAGGGCCACAGACCUCACAGUGGGAGCCACAGCCACUCACCUGGAAAAGAGUCGCAAUGGGAAGAAUGGACCCGGGACAGCCGAGUGGUGGCUUUCAGCCGUCAGAGGCGAGGGGGACCUGGGACUGCCAGGCGGUGGCUCUCAGCCGUCAGAGGCGAGGGGGACCCGGGACAACCGAGCGGUGGCUUUCAGCCGUCAGAGGCGAGGGGGACCUGGAACUGCCAGGAGGUGGCUCUCAGCCGUCAGAGGCAAGGGGGAUGCGGGCGCCAUCAUGAGUAGCAGAGGCAGAAUGACAGUCAAGCUGGGCUGACCCCUUAGCCACAGCUCUCCUAGGAGGAAAACAGAAAGCCUGGGAAGAUGGUACUGGAUCUGCGGGAGGCCAAGGUCGGGGUGUCACCUGAGACCAGGAGUUCAAGACCAGUCUGGGCAAUAUAGUGAGAACCCCAUCUCUAAAAACUAAAAAAUUAGCUGGGCUUGGUGGUGCACACCUGUGGUCCCAGCUACUCAGGAGGCUGAGGCAGGAGGAUGGCUUAAGCCCAGGUGUUCAAGGCUACAGUGAGCCAAGAUUGCAUCACUGCACUCCUGCCUGGGCAACAGAGCGAGACCCUGCCUCAAAAUCAAUCAAUCAAUCAAUAAUCAUGUUCUCAGCAAAUAUUUAACUUCCCCGAUAUAUUGUGGGGGAAAAGAGGCUGUAAAACAAUCUGUGGUAAUAGCCAGGAGAACUUAGGAGCACCCGUGGGUGCCCAUGCCGGCAGAGAUUCACGAACACUGUUCACCCCCAUAACCAGCAAGGGUGCUGCCAUCCAGAACCCAUCGCAGAUGAGCAACUGUGCCUGCCCAGGCCAGGCCACGGCACCCAGCAGCCGGGACCCCUCCCCACCUGAAACGAUACUGCCGCCUGGGGACCCCAGGCCGCUGACAUGGGGACGUGCUAGAGUUUUUGAACACGUCUCUGCAUCUGGACAUGCCCUCAGUGCACGUGUAUUGCUUUAUGUUCAGAGACGUCAAAUGUCAUUUAAUGAAAAGACUCCGGCUACAUAAUUGUCCCCAGGAAUGCCCAGGACAAUGUCAGGAAUCUCCCAGACCUGCACAGAAGGUGGGAAAGAUUUUGAACGAUUAAGAGGCUUCUUGGGGGAGGGGGAGAGGGACAUUUUUCUUCCACCCACGGACAGUUCUGUGUUUUCUGAUUUCUGUAACGAGUGCCACAGCUCUGUAUGGAAAACAGCACUGCCUUUGGCGUCCCUCCCAAUUCCUGGCACAUGAGUCAAGGGCUCCCCUAGCGUCACCGUUGAGGGCAGGGCAGCCCCGGGCUCACAAAGUAAAGAUGGAAAGGGCCAGGCCUCACUGCAGGGUCACCCUGAGGCCAUAAAAUCCUGCAUCUUACGUCUUGGGCACCAUUUAAUACAAUUAAACGGUGCAAUAAAGGAAGGGAGUAAUAAAGAAAGCAAAUGUCAGCCAGCGAGGACAUCCGGCACAGGCCACACCCCGGGUCCAGCCCCACUGGGGUGGAGUCUGAGGUCCCUGGGAACCCCAGAGUCUAUGCACUGCUGUGCCCAGCUAAUUUUUUAACAUUUCUGCAGAGACAAGGUCUCCCUAGGUUGCCCAGGCUGGUCUCGAACUCCUGGCCUCAAGCGGUUUUCCCAACGUGGCCUCCCCAAAUGCUGGGAUUAUAGGUGUGAGCCAGUGGGCCCAGCCACGUGCUCUUAUGUAGCUUAUCAGAGUGUAUGAUGCUGCCUGUCCCAUUGCUGGGGAUGUUAACCUUGACCCCUUGGCUCAGGUGGCGUCUGCCAGGUCUCUGCACUGCAAAGUUACUAUUUUGCGACUUUGUAAUUAAUAAAUAUCUUAGGGAAGAUACUUUGAAUUCAUGUAAAUAACUUGUUUCUCUUCUAACCUCAGCCUAUUGACUUUAGCAUACCUCUGUAGACAGCUGUUGAUCCUGUGGCGUCUGAUGGUGAUUUUCUAUUUACUUCAUUUCUUCUGCAUUAAUUAACUGGAAUUCUAUUAAAAUAAGCUGUUUCUUCUUAUUUGUUUGUGCAGUUAUUUACUUCACUAUGGGUUUGUAGAUACUUAUUUUAUUAUUUGGGUUAUAAUCCAACAUUAUCUUUAUUUUGUUGCUCAAAUUGUUCCAGUGUUGGCCAUGGCAGCCCCUUCACAGCGGCUCCUGUGUGCUUUCACCCUAUCUGUUUUUGAGCCCUUCCUCAUUUUCUGGCACCAUAAAAUGCUCCAGGUUUAUCUUGUAAUUUCCUUCCCCAGAGA